rnacentral:rRNA from 1 species
UACGAAGGGGGCUAGCGUUGCUCGGAAUCACUGGGCGUAAAGGGUGCGUAGGCGGGUCUUUUAAGUCAGGGGGUGAAAUCCUGGAGCUCAACUCCAGAACUGCCUUUGAUACUGAGGAUCUUGAGUUCGGGAGAGGUGAGUGGAACUGCGAGUGUAGAGGUGAAAUUCGUAGAUAUUCGCAAGAACACCAGUGGCGAAGGCGGCUCACUGGCCCGAUACUGACGCUGAGGCACGAAAGCGUGGGGAGCAAACAGG